AAGAAAAAAACUGUUAAUAAACUAUAAAUAAAUGAAUGUUUAAGAAGUGUUUCUGGUGUGUCUCUGCAAUUGUUCACUUAUUUACCUUCACAAGAUGUGUCCCAGAGUAGGUUCUUUUUUUUUUUUGUCAGACAGCAACAGACAUCAGCGACUGUCCACUGUCUCACAUUUGAGUGUCCACUACAGAGCCAUAUUCAUGAAACAUAUGCAGAACACAUUUAUUUAUUAACCACUGAAUAAAAGAAUAGAUGGAUAAUUCUUAACUGUUUCAUUCAGUUCAGUGUAACAGUGUAUACAUUCAUAAAUAAUUUGGGAUGAGGCCAAACUGAAACACUAUUUCAGUUACUUCAUGUGUGCUGUUAAUAUAUUGUUUGUGCUGCUUUGGUUUUUUUAGAUAUUUUUAGUGAUAAUUCUGAGGUCUUUCUCAUCUUUCUGAUGAAAUUAGUGUUAUAUCCAGCAGGGACAUGAGUGUAAAGUCAGAAGUCUGGGAAUAAUGAGUGAUUUGAUGUACCUUUGUUAUUUUAUCACACAGUAUGUGACUCACGAUCAGAUCUGCAUGUGUGUGUUCUCCUGUCUCACAGCUUCAUCUUCUCUUCUGGUCACUGCUGUGGUUGUGGGAUCAAGUGUUUGCUUGUUGAUCUUCAUCUCACUGCUGCUGCUGUGGAGAUACAAGAAGAACAAAGAUCAGCAGCGUAACAUUAACCAGACAUCAGUCCCAAAUCAAUCUGCAGAAUCUCAACCAGAAAACUACUCCUCUACAGUCUGGUCAGCCUCACUAACUAAUUACAUAGGGAUAGUUAUGUGUGUGUGUGUGUGUGUGUGUGUGUGUGUGUGUCUAUCUAUCUAUCUAUCUAUCUAUCAGUGGUGGACGAAGUACACAAAUCAAGUACUUGAGUAAAAGUACAGAUACGUAUAAUAAAAUAAUACUCCAGUAAAAGUAAAAGUACUCCUUUUUCAAUUUUACUUAAGUGAAAGUACAAAAGUACUCGAUUUUUUAUGUACUUAAGUAAAAAAGUACUGAUAGAUAGAUUUAUUUAGCAAUUUUAUAUAGGCUACUAAAUUUAAUUUUACAUUAGCACAUAUUUUUUUUAAUCCUAUACUGCUCAAAAUGCCUGGGAUUUUCCCAAAAUAACCUCUAUAUGGAGAUUGUUGUUGACAUGGACUACGCUGACGAGAGUGAUGUACAUUAGUAAUGUUCACUGUGAAGUUUACACUGGGAUGUACCUGAGAGAAAACAGACCAUCUGAUUUU
rnacentral:lncRNA from 1 species